GGCUCGUUAGCUCAGUGGUUAGAGCGUCACACAAUUUGGACGUGACGGUCGUAGGUUCGAUCCCUACACGAGCCC
rnacentral:tRNA from 1 species